AACGAACGCUGGCGGCAGGCCUAACACAUGCAAGUCGAGCGAGGACUUCGGUUCUAGCGGCGGACGGGUGAGUAACGCGUGGGAAUGUGCCCUUCUCUACGGAAUAGCACUGGGAAACUGGGAGUAAUACCGUAUACGCCCUUUUGGGGAAAGAUUUAUCGGAGAAGGAUCAGCCCGCGUUGGAUUAGGUAGUUGGUGGGGUAAUGGCCUACCAAGCCGACGAUCCAUAGCUGGUUUGAGAGGAUGAUCAGCCACACUGGGACUGAGACACGGCCCAGACUCCUACGGGAGGCAGCAGUGGGGAAUCUUAGACAAUGGGGGCAACCCUGAUCUAGCCAUGCCGCGUGAGUGAUGAAGGCCUUAGGGUUGUAAAGCUCUUUCAGCUGGGAAGAUAAUGACGGUACCAGCAGAAGAAGCCCCGGCUAACUCCGUG
rnacentral:rRNA from 1 species